UCGGCCUCCCAAAGUGCUGGGAUUACAGGCGUGAGCCACCGCGCCCGGCCAAUAAUAACUUUUAAACCCUAAGAAUGGCAGCUAGUCUCUGUGUAAGCUUGGCCAGCGUGCCUGGCACCGUUCCGAGCUUGCUGUUCUAAGACUGGCAUGCCCUUGCUCAUUUAAACGUCACAGCAACCCCCAAAGUUGUCUACCCUUGCCGUCACCAUUUUUCAGGUGAGGAGGCAGAGGCUCAGGGAGCUCUAGCCCGAAUUCGCUCGCUGUCCGCCGGGCCGGUGGCGUUCACCCCGAACCGCGCUGCGCUGCCCCGCCCGGGGCGCUAUGGCCUGGGGCCGGACUAUGCCCACCCCACCUCACCCGGCGCCCCCCACCCACGCGCGCCGAGGGUGCGGUGAGCUGAGCGCGGGGCCCAGCAUGUUUCGGCGUCGCCCCCGCCCAGGGGCCCAGGAGGUGGCGCCCAAGGGGCCCCCUGGCGACGGCGACUUCCUACGCAGCCACCCGCGGCUGCCCAAGCUGACCCCGCCCCCGCUCCGAGCGGCCCAGGGCGCGCGGGGCCCCCGGGGCUCGAGGACCCCGCCGGGCGGCGCCGCCUGGUGGCCGGAAGGGGACGCCGAGCCCGGGGUGGGCGUCGGGAGCCCCCCGCCGCGCCUGCCCGCCCUGCCCACCGCGCCCCGGCGGGCGGCGGGGAAGCGGGAGCUGCUGCGGUCCCUGCUGCUGCCGCCCCUGCUCUCGGACGGCGCGUCCCGGGCAUCGGCGCCCAGGCAGCCCGGGCCAGGCGAGCGCGAGUGCCCCUGGAGGGGCGUGGCCAGGGAGGACCCCAGCUUCCUGGGCGCCUUCCUAGGAGAGCUCCUCCCCAGCAGGUUCCGUGAGUUCCUGCACCAGCUCCGGGACAAGUGCGCAGACGAGGAGCCCGAGCCACUGAGAAGGACGUCCCCCAGCCGAUGCUCACCCUGUUUCCUCCCGCAUCUGGCUCCAGCAUCCUCAGCACCGCAACAUCAAAGGGGUGUGUUAGAGCACUGUCGGGGGGCUCCGCAGCGUCCCAACUGCCCAUUCUUCCCAGGCCUGUGGGGCCAGUCACCGCACCUCCAGGACAGUCUUACCAAGAUUUUGCUCCAACAGACACCUGCUCUGGGGGCCCUGAAGGCUGAUCACCCCCAAUUCAGCACGGUCGGAAAAACCAGCCACAGGCCCUCCAGGAAAGGCUCAGGGCCCCCCAGGCCUCGCUGCCCUUUCCGGGUGCGAUUUGCUGACGAGACCCUGCAGGACAUUCUGCUCCGCUACUGGGAGCGCCGAUGCUCAGGCCCUCCCAGAAGACACAGGGCGACCUUUCUGAGGACACCUCCAUGAACAGCAGCCUGCCCUUCUCUUCAUGGAAGAAAGAUGCUGCUCAGAGGCCACGAAGGGGCCUCCAAGCCUUCUUGGACCCCCACGGCCUCCUGGAGCAGGAGUCCUUCCUUCCCAGCCUGGUGCUGCAGUCGGUCCUGAAGCAAGGCCGCCCCGAGGAGUACCAUCUCCUCUGGCCCUCCCCAACGCUGCAUCGAGCUCAGAGGUGAACACCUGCUAGCCCAAGCGCAGGGCACACAGGGCCAGGCCGUGAGGAUAGCCCUUCCUUGCCCCACGAAUAAAGGCGCAUCCCAGGUGGUGGGGACCUGCUCGUAGGUCUCAUACCACAAACCUUUCUUCGUACCUGAUUGCUGGUCUCUGGGGGUUCCUGGAAGGAAGGGGGUUGGAGACACAGCCUGGAUGAGGCUGAGGGGUGGGGACAGGGCAUCCCUGGGGUCCAGGACAUGUACCAAGUGAACCCCUUUUCUGGAAAGUAAGAGACCCUGCCACAGACCUCAGACCUGGGAACAUGCUGGGUGCGAUGGUUCACGCCUGUAAUCCCAGCUCUUUGGAAGGCUGAGGUGGGAGGAUGGCUUGAGCCCAGGAGUUCAAGACCAGCCUGAGCAACAUAGACCCUGUCUUUACAAAAAAAAU